rnacentral:rRNA from 1 species
GUGGAUUAGAUACCCUGGUAGUCCACGCCGUAAACGUUGGGCGCUAGGUGUGGGGAACCUUCCACGUUCUCCGUGCCGCAGCUAACGCAUUAAGCGCCCCGCCUGGGGAGUACGGCCGCAAGGCUAAAACUCAAAGGAAUUGACGGGGGCCCGCACAAGCGGCGGAGCAUGUGGCUUAAUUCGACGCAACGCGAAGAACCUUACCAAGGCUUGACAUACACCGGAAACUGCCAGAGAUGGUGGCCCCGCAAGGUCGGUGUACAGGUGGUGCACGGCCGUCGACAACU